rnacentral:hammerhead_ribozyme from 1 species
AUCCAGCUGACAAGUCCCAAAUAGGACAAAACGCACGUCUUGGAU